GCCUAAUACAUGCAAGUCGAGCGGACAGAUGGGAGCUUGCUCCCUGAUGUUAGCGGCGGACGGGUGAGUAACACGUGGGUAACCUGCCUGUAAGACUGGGAUAACUCCGGGAAACCGGGGCUAAUACCGGAUGGUUGUCUGAACCGCAUGGUUCAGACAUAAAAGGUGGCUUCGGCUACCACUUACAGAUGGACCCGCGGCGCAUUAGCUAGUUGGUGAGGUAACGGCUCACCAAGGCGACGAUGCGUAGCCGACCUGAGAGGGUGAUCGGCCACACUGGGACUGAGACACGGCCCAGACUCCUACGGGAGGCAGCAGUAGGGAAUCUUCCGCAAUGGACGAAAGUCUGACGGAGCAACGCCGCGUGAGUGAUGAAGGUUUUCGGAUCGUAAAGCUCUGUUGUUAGGGAAGAACAAGUGCCGUUCAAAUAGGGCGGCACCUUGACGGUACCUAACCAGAAAGCCACGGCUAACUACGUGCCAGCAGCCGCGGUAAUACGUAGGUGGCAAGCGUUGUCCGGAAUUAUUGGGCGUAAAGGGCUCGCAGGCGGUUUCUUAAGUCUGAUGUGAAAGCCCCCGGCUCAACCGGGGAGGGUCAUUGGAAACUGGGGAACUUGAGUGCAGAAGAGGAGAGUGGAAUUCCACGUGUAGCGGUGAAAUGCGUAGAGAUGUGGAGGAACACCAGUGGCGAAGGCGACUCUCUGGUCUGUAACUGACGCUGAGGAGCGAAAGCGUGGGGAGCGAACAGGAUUAGAUACCCUGGUAGUCCACGCCGUAAACGAUGAGUGCUAAGUGUUAGGGGGUUUCCGCCCCUUAGUGCUGCAGCUAACGCAUUAAGCACUCCGCCUGGGGAGUACGGUCGCAAGACUGAAACUCAAAGGAAUUGACGGGGGCCCGCACAAGCGGUGGAGCAUGUGGUUUUAUUCGAAGCAACGCGAAGAACCUUACCAGGUCUUG
rnacentral:rRNA from 1 species